UACGUAGGGGGCUAGCGUUGUCCGGAAUCAUUGGGCGUAAAGAGCGCGUAGGCGGCUAGUUAAGUCCGGUGUGAAAGUCACAGGCUCAACCUGUGAAUGCCGCUGGAAACUGUCUGGCUAGAGUCCGGAAGGGGGGAGUGGAAUUCCUGGUGUAGCGGUGAAAUGCGCAGAUAUCAGGAGGAACACCAAUGGCGAAGGCAGCUCGCUGGGACGGUACUGACGCUGAGGCGCGAAAGCGUGGGGAGCAAACAGG
rnacentral:rRNA from 1 species